UGACUGUGCGCUAAAGGCUUUGCCACACUCCUUCCACCUGUAAGGUUUCUCUCCAGUGUGAAUUCUAGUAUGUUGUGCCAGGUGUGAAUCACACCCAAAAGCCUUGUCACACACCUUACAUUUGUAUGGUUUCUCUCCCGUAUGAAUUCUCCUGUGUCUUUCAAGGUGUGAUUUGCGACUGAAAACUUUGUCACAUUCUUCACAUUUGUAAGGUUUCUCUCCAGUAUGAAGUCUACAAUGAAGUACAAGGUGUGAUUUUCUAUUAAAAACCUUUUCACAUUCAUUACACUUGUGAGGUUUCUCUCCAGUAUGACUUCUAUGAUGGUAUACAAGGGAUGACAUCUGACUGAAGGCCUUGUUACAC